CUACGGGGGGCUGCAGUGGGGAAUAUUGGACAAUGGGCGAAAGCCUGAUCCAGCCAUGCCGCGUGUGUGAAGAAGGCCUUCGGGUUGUAAAGCACUUUCAGUGGGGAAGAAAGCCUUGGGGCUAAUACCCUCGAGGAAGGACAUCACCCACAGAAGAAGCACCGGCUAACUCCGUACCAGCAGCCGCGGUAAUACGGAGGGUGCGAGCGUUAAUCGGAAUUACUGGGCGUAAAGCGCGCGUAGGCGGUCUGAUAAGCCGGUUGUGAAAGCCCCGGGCUCAACCUGGGAACGGCAUCCGGAACUGUCAGGCUAGAGUGCAGGAGAGGAAGGUAGAAUUCCCGGUGUAGCGGUGAAAUGCGUAGAGAUCGGGAGGAAUACCAGUGGCGAAGGCGGCCUUCUGGACUGACACUGACGCUGAGGUGCGAAAGCGUGGGUAGCAAACAGGAUUAGAUACCCUUGUAGUC
rnacentral:rRNA from 1 species